GUCUAUGGCCAUACCACCCUGAACGUGCCCAAUCUCGUCUGAUCUUGGAAGCUAAGCAAGGUCAGGCCUGGUUAGUACUUGGAAACAGGUUAUUUACC
rnacentral:rRNA from 1 species